rnacentral:lncRNA from 1 species
GAGCAGCUCCACUUGUUUUAUUAGGUUUGUGCCCACAAAACCCGCUGGCAGGGGAGAUCUGGCCCCUCCUCCUGGCGAGGCAGCAGUGGGCUGGUUGUCUGCUGCCCUGUGCUCACUGAGUGUGCUGCGAUUAAUUAACCAGUAUGGCCUGAGAGCCCUAGGGGGAGCUGCCUGCCUCAGAGCUAACUGGGGACCCUGGUAUGUGGACCUGAGGACCAAAGUGAGAUGGAGGUCUCAGUGUUGUUGUCUUGAAGGUACAACGCAAGCUGGAUCUCUGCAUGGGUUUUUCAUUUGUAAAGGAUCCCAAUGAGAGUUAAUGACAUGCUGCUGCUUUUGUUUGGCAGUCCCCAGACAGGAAUGGGCCUUUCAGAGCUUGGAGUAUACCAAGGUAUCAAGGCAGAAGGCACAGCUUCACCUUCAGAGCGUGACAGAGCUGCCUCCCCUCUGGGGACUCACUCCAGGAGGCUGAAGAUUGCACAAAUGCUCAUGAGAAGUUUCCAGUGCUUGCUACAUAAAACACCACUGAGUCAGGGAGCUCUCUGGUGGUACCCUCGGGCUUCUUUUGGCAUGGCUGACUGUCCCACUAGCCAUCUCUCUAGCCAAAGCUCAUUUUCCAAGAGAUACUGAGGGAGAGGCAUGGGUGCAAUGACAGAGCUGAGAAAUGUGUUUGGCCAUGCAGGUCUCUGGGAACUUCCUCUACUUAUUGCUGCAGAAAGCCUGAAGAGGUGGCAUGAU